rnacentral:lncRNA from 1 species
UUGCACUUCAUCACACACACACACACACACACACACACACACACUUAAACUGAGAGUCACACUAUGAGACUUGUUUAAUUCAAUGAAUAUAAUAGCCUCCAUUUUCACCUAUUUUCCUAAAAAUGGCAUGAUUUAAUAGUUUUAAAAGAUGAAUGAAUUUCAUUGUGUUUGUGAAUAUGGCAUUUUCUUUAUCCAUUUAUCUCUUGAUAAAUUUCUAAACUGGUAAAAUGUCUGAUCUGUUGUGAAUACUGAAAUACUGCAACAAAAAUCAUGGACAUGCCAUUGUCUCUGUGUAGUUGUAACUUAAAUCCCUUGGAGGAUAUGCCAAAGAGUAAUAUAACUAAGUCAUAUGAUAUCUCUAUUUCUAGUUUGUAAAGGACCUCCUUGAUUUUCAUAGUAGCUUUGUUAGAUUACAUUCCUACAGUGAUUAAAGGUUCCCUUUUCCAAUAUCCUGGGCUCACUUUGUUUUUUGUUUUUGUUUUUGUUUUUUUCAUUUGUUUUCUUGGUGACAGGCAUUCUGACUGUGGUGAAACAGAAUCUCAAAGCAGGUUUAUUUUGCAUUUCUCUAGUGGCUAAAAAUUUUGAACAAUUUUUCAAAAUCUAUUGGACCUCAUAAUUUUUGCCUGUGAGAAAUAACUGUUCGAUUUGCUAGCCCAUUCAAGGGAAUUACUUUUGAUAUUUAAUGUUUACCCCAUGGUUGAUUUUAUGUGUCAAAGACUUUUCAGCCUAUGUGCUCUCUGUACUUUGAUGACUGCUUCCCUUGAUGCACACAUGUGACCACUCUACCUUUUAGAGUCUUUCACUCUCUUUCUUCAGUACUGCAAGAUUUUCACUAUAGCAGUUUUUCCUUUCCUUCCUUAGGUUACUUUUAAAAAUACUCAUAUAUUUUAAGCCACUAAAAAUAUGAUUUUUCCCCUGCUUGUUUUAUAAACUAACUCAUGAUUGUCAUGUAAAAAACCUAGCAUGCCUCCCUGUACUGAAUUGCUUAAAUCUUACUAUUUUUUUAAAGUAUCUAAGGGAUCUGAGAGUUUUCAGCUGGAGUCUCUCUAGCAUUAAAAACUGGUGAUCAUC